GUGAGGAAUAUUGGUCAAUGGGCGGAAGCCUGAACCAGCCAUGCCGCGUGCGGGAAGGAGGCCCUAUGGGCUGUGAACCGCUUUUGCCUGGGGGCAAUAAGGGCGUCGCGCACGUCCGAUGAGAGUACCAGGCGAAUAAGCAUCGGCUAACUCCGUGCCAGCAGCCGCGGUAAUACGGGGGAUGCGAGCGUUAUCCGGAUUCAUUGGGUUUAAAGGGUGCGUAGGCUGUGCGUCAAGUCGGGGGUGAAAUUCCGGUGCUCAACACCGGGGCUGCCCUUGAUACUGUCGCGCUGGAGUGCGGAUGCCGCCGGAGGAAUGAGUGGUGUAGCGGUGAAAUGCUUAGAUAUCACUCAGAACACCGAUUGCGAAGGCAUCUGGCGAAUCCGUAACUGACGCUGAGGCACGAAAGCGUGGGGAUAGAACAGGAUUAGAAACCCUAGUAGUCC
rnacentral:rRNA from 1 species